rnacentral:lncRNA from 1 species
AAAUAACAAUUACAUGACAAUCCUGUCUUCCAAAUGAAUUUAAAAACAUUUUGUUUUUAUAAACAAUCAUAACUAAUUAGAAAGAAAGAAAAAACACACAUACACACUGAAAAUUACAUGUGUUUAUGUUGCAACAACUUUAUUGUUGAUAAACAACUGCCAACCUGUACCAGAAACAAACAAUGGUUUGGAACAAACUAUACACCACGAACGACAACUCGACCUAGAAUGUUACUCACAUUUGUUGAUAAUGUAAACAAACAUCGAUUUACAAAAAAGCGGUAAUAUGUAGCAAUUAAUAACAAUCAGAAUGCUGUAGUAAAGAUUAUCAGGAAAUUAAUCUGGCUUGCCGCCCGGAGAUGCCGAUAAGUGAUAUUUUACAAAAUCAUGUUUUCAGGGGACGUGAUGAAUUGUCCUUGCCAAAAUUACAAAUAAUUCAGGUAUCUAACAUUUCUAACAUAUAUUGAUACCACGAUAAUACAUUGAUAAUACUGCCUUGUUAAAUAUACCUUAUUGUCAAAGAAUGCAGCAAUAAUUCUGUUGUCAACGGCCAAAGAAAAAAUCGGGAUGAUCAAGCAUGGAAUUCCGGAAAUUGACCGUCUCCAAAAAUAUUAAAUUCUAAAAUUGAGUUAUCGUCCUUUUCGCGCCAGACGACUAUUGAAAGGGCUACACUUUGGCAUCAUUUU